AUCAUUCUGGCCGUUUCACUUCGUUUCGCAAAGAAAAUAACAAUCGUUCAUCCCCGAAAACCCUAAUCGCAUCAGCAAUCAUCAAGCAUGGGCAUAAUCCUGUGUAAAUCUUUGAUUCUUGCUUCCAAUUUAUGAUUCUCGAUUUCAGAUCCUUUGUCCAUUGAAGCUUCAUGUUUUUAUUUAUUCCAUUUGUUACAGGAGAUAUUGCCAGUUAUCUACAGAUCAUUCAAGGAAGAAUACUCAUGCGGUUUUAUCUGAAUCUGUCAAUCUGACUGAGUUGCGUUGUUUUGAUAGUUUACAAGUGUCAUUCAUUGUUUUUUAUUUAGAUUUUUACGUAUAUGAAGAGGUUUAUUUGUAUGCAGCCCAUGUACUGUGUGUUUUAGAAUCACCACUCUUCUUUCGAUUCUUGAUUAUAAAUGUAGAAUUGGAUUGUAGUUUCUCACUUUUUUAAGAAUAACAUAAGCAGGCUCAUUCAAUUUUUCUAUUGAGUUAUCAAUCGAAACGUGAUUUUGUAUGUUUCCAUUCUUCAAAUAUAACUUUUUUCUACCUUUCAUUUGUUCUUUAAUGGUUUUCAGUGAUGCUUAAUCCAAUUUUAGCCAAAAACCUAAAUCAAAAAAGCAAAAAGUAGCCUUGAAAACUUAUAUAGUGCCUUGAAAACUUGAAGGCUAUUAGUUUAAUAG